UUAGAAGAUGUAAGAAUAAUGAAAAAAUAAUAAUACAAAUAUACAUGAACUUGCAAGUUCUCUGUAGUAGCAAAGUGAAAUUUGUCUCACUGUCUCAGCUGUUGGGGUGACACUUCUUUUGGUCCAGCUGUGGUCUUUUCACAAUUUCAGGGAUUUU